AGAACGCCUCCUGGCGGCUAUGUUGAAAGACUACUGCAUGAAUUAUUCUGACAACAGCCGAGGGGCUACCCCAAACUGAAUGAUAAAAGUUACUAGAACUAGUUGAUUCAUCACAACGGUCAUUUUCUGUGGAGUAUAUGGCUGCUCAAACGAGGCCGGAAACACAAAGGGGGGAAAAGAUGUUUACAGAUUCCCCGCAAUCAUGAAACACCAUUGGCAAUACCAAUGAGAUAAGACUCAAGAACUCAGAGAAGCGAAGAAACCUUUUUGCCCGUCAAGACCUCAACACAGACAGCUGUCAUUACAGGGUUUGCUACGAUCAUUUCAUCAUUGAAGCAGACCAGGACAAGGAGAGUAGGAAGAAGAGAAUACUUCAAAAUGAGAAGAUCCUGCCAUGGAAAAGAAGACUGGGUGGACAUAAAGUGGAAAGGAGGGGAAAUAACUCACAACAUGCAGCAGGACACCUUCAGCUGUGGGGUCUUUGUAAUGCAGAUGGCCAUCCCCUUCCAAAUUGAUAUGGAACCUUCAAAAACACAUGGCAACUGCGGAAAGAAAUGGCUGAGGAUAGACAAAAAAUGUCUGAGUUCAACAAAGCCAACAACUGCUUCAUGUGUGCCACUGAUAAAGAACCUGGAUGUGGCCCAAAGACUGACUGGUAGGUUCCCCAGCUGACCUAUAUCAAGACACCCAUGUUGACUGGAUUCCCCCUGUGAAGAGGAGUCAUGCUGCAGCAGCAUCCGAUUCUACUACUUGUUCAUCUUUUUCCAGACAUGAAAGAAGACUCCCCUCAGUUAUAUGACAUGGUUGUCAUAUGCUGUGCUUUGGACAAUUUGAAUGAUUGAGUAGAGCACCUUGUCAUGACAAAAGUGCCCCCUUAAACUGUAUGAAUAUAAUGUAUUUGGAACGUUUAAAAGACUUGUUGAUAUUGUAAACAUACUGUACUUUAAGCCAUAUUGUUGUCCAAGGGUAAAGACAAGUAUUUUGUCAUCUUUGCUUUGCCUAGCCACAUUGAAUAAAAAGUAUUUCUUAUGGCCCAACUAUUGCCAUGUUCCUUGCUUUUCAGAAAUGUGGUUCUCAAACAAGAUGCACCCCAUGGCUAUCCAACUCGAUGGAUUCUUCAUUCACCGGGCAGACAGGUGAUAUUAAUUUGGCGUCACUAAAUCAAAAAGAUAUAUAAUUCACAUGCGCCAAAUACAACAGGUAUAGAUAGACCUUACAGUGAAAUGCUUACUUACAAGCCCUUAACCAACAAUGCAGUUAAGAAAAAUAAGUGUUAAAGUAUUUACUGAAAUAAACUGAAGAAAAUAAUUAAUUAAAAAAUGAAGGUGCAACAAUAAAAUGACGUUAGUCGAGGUAAUUUGUACAUGUAGGUAAAGUGACUAUGUUUGUAUAAUAAACAGAGUAGCAGAAAAAGUUUGGCAUGGGCUCUCAAAUCCUGAAAAGGUUCUACAACUGUACCUUUGAGAGCUUAUAGACUGGCUGCAUCACUGCUUGGUAUAGCUAUAGCAUCGCCCUCGAUCACAUGGCGCUACAGAGGGUUGUGCGGGCAGCCCAGUACAUCACUGAGGCCGAGCUCCCUGCCAUCCUGGACCUCCAUAUCAGGUGAAAGACCCCAACCACCCAUGCCAUAGAUUUUCUUUGCUGCAGCACAGCAAGAGCUUGAACAGCUUCUAUCCCCAAGCAAUACGACUGAUAAUUAGCUAACAAAAUUGCUACACGGACCAAGUUUACCUUGCAUCUUUAUUGACCUUUUAUUUCAGUGUUUUACACCGUCUAUGCACACUCACAGGGCCCUGUCACUGUCACUCCAAAACAAACACUCCAUUUUCUCACUCACACAUAAUAUGCUGCUGUUACUCUGUUUAUCUUAUAUCCUGUUGCCUAAUCACCUUACCCCUAAACAUAUCUACCUCCAUCACUCCAGUAUCCCUGUCACCUUACCCC